rnacentral:rRNA from 1 species
GGGAGGCAGCAGGGGGGAAUAUUGGACAAUGGGCGCAAGCCUGAUGCAGCCAUGCCGCGUGUGUGAAGAAGGCUUUAGGGUUGUAAAGCACUUUCAGUGGGGAGGAAGGCCUUAUGGUUAAUAGCCAUCAGAAUUGACGUUACCCACAGAAGAAGCACCGGCUAACUCCGUGCCAGCAGCCGCGGUAAUACGGAGGGUGCGAGCGUUAAUCGGAAUUACUGGGCGUAAAGCGCGCGUAGGCGGUUAGCUCAGUCGGAUGUGAAAGCCCCGGGCUUAACCUGGGAACUGCAUUCGAAACUGGCAGGCUGGAGUACGAGAGAGGGAGGUGGAAUUUCAUGUGUAGCGGUGAAAUGCGUAGAUAUAGGAAGGAACAUCAGUGGCGAAGGCGGCCGCCUGGCUCGAUAUUGACGCUGAGGUGCGAAAGCGUGGGGAGCAAACAGGAU